rnacentral:rRNA from 1 species
AUUGAACGCUGGCGGCAGGCCUAACACAUGCAAGUCGAACGAGUGGCGGACGGGUGAGUAAUGUCUGGGAAACUGCCCGAUGGAGGGGGAUAACUACUGGAAACGGUAGCUAAUACCGCAUACCAUCGGAUGUGCCCAGAUGGGAUUAGCUAGUAGGUGGGGUAACGGCUCACCUAGGCGACGAUCCCUAGCUGGUAUGAGAGGAUGACCGGCCACACUGGAACAGAGACACGGGCCAGACUCCGACGGGGGGCAGCAAUGGGGAAGAUUGCACAAUGGGCGCAAGCCGGAUGCAGCGAUACCGCGUGUAUGAAGAAGGCCUGCGGGUGGUAAAGUACUUUCAGCGAGGAGGCGUUACUCGCAGAGGAAGCACCGGCUAACUCCGUGCCAGCAGCCGCGGUAAUAC